UUUAUCAAACCCAAAACUUCACACAACAACUCUCUCAAACUGAAUCCAAAUUUCUUGCCAUGCAAAUCAAAAGUCCUCACCCAGAAUCAAAAAUCCAGCUGAAUCCAAAUUUCUUGCCAUUCCAAACUGAAAACCCAAAACAACCUAACCCCCCAAUCCAUACCCCAUCUCUCUUCGAGAAAGACAGAAAACCUCAUUCCGCAUCUGAGACUUUGUUUCAUAUAGCGAAAUUGUCCAAACCUCAUCACUCAUUUCAUGGCUAGCUCUUUAUCUAUGCUGGGGUUUCUGGGUUAUUGGCUUAACCUUGAGGUGGAGGUGUGUGAGAGCUGCUGAGGUGUGGCUUCAAACAUCCAAUUCCAGACUUAUUGUUCAUGCUUGGAGACAUAGAUUGCUUCUACGUUCAAGGUUUCAUAUGCUACUGUUGUAAGAAAUUGGUCUGCAAGGUCUGAAGAGAAGGAGAAGGUUGAAUCUGUAAAUCAAGGUAAAUGGAAGAGAAUACAUGCUAAGCAAUUUUUGAAAUCAUGCUCAACUUUAAAUUUUUAGAAAUUUUUUGAUAAGGUUUUUUUUU